UAACGCGUGAGGAACCUGCCUUGAAGAGGGGGACAACAGUUGGAAACGACUGCUAAUACCGCAUGAAGCAUAGGGGUCGCAUGAUUCUUAUGCCAAAGAUUUAUCGCUUCAAGAUGGCCUCGCGUCUGAUUAGCUGGUUGGCGGGGUAACGGCCCACCAAGGCGACGAUCAGUAGCCGGACUGAGAGGUCGAACGGCCACAUUGGGACUGAGAUACGGCCCAG
rnacentral:rRNA from 1 species